rnacentral:lncRNA from 1 species
GGGGAAGUAAUACAGAAGACAAUGAUAAGGAUUAAAGGUGUUGAUGUAUGUAAUGAACCUGGGGUUUAGUAUGUCCUUAAUACAUUUUAUCUUGAGUAUCUGAUGAAUUCUUUUGAGAAGAAUGGAUAGUAGUAGAAAUUGUUUAAAAGAAAUUCACCAGUGUUCUCAGUUGAUAUAGGGAGGGUUUGAUAAUUAUUUGAAAGCAGUUUUUGUUUCAUUUUCUUCUGCAUGCUUGUUUUGAAAUGGUGGGUGCUGAUGAGUGAUGAUAGAACAAUUUCAAGGGAGAACUUUUAAAGGAAGGUAAGAUAUUGCUAUUCUGUAGUGGGGUGAUUUUUUUAAACACAUACUAAAACUAACCUAAAAUUUGAGUUAUUACUUAAAGAACAGAUAGUUGGCCAUUUCUUUAUUGUUGUUUCCAUCAUGCAACAUAACUAUGGACAUGUCUCUAAGACCCAGCACACAUUUCUUUUUCUCAGUGAUUCUCUGAGACAGUUUUCAUCAGGGGCAGCCAAACAUUAUUUGUAACCAAAGGAAUCAGUUAGGCAAUAGGAUAUUUUGUCAAAAACAAGGUAUGGCUAUAAAACUUUUGAAUUGAUUAUCUUUUAGAUCUUCUGAAUUGACUCCAUGAAGGAGUUCCCAUAUGCUUUGCAGUUUUAUUUGUUGAAAUAAGUAUCCUAAAUGAUAAGUUGUACCGAGUAAAUGGUUGGAAGUUAUUCAGAAGUUUAGAAAAGUAAGCAGUGAUUAGACACCAAUACUGAAACUGUAUCUUCUUAUAGAAGCAAAAUCACAUUUAGAACUACCUAGUGCAUUCAGUUCAAGUUUAGAAAUUUUCUUUCCCUUCUUUGGUUUUAACUCUUCUGUUUAUUGUAAGUAAAGCCAAGUUAAUUUUGGAGUUAGUUGGGAUUUUAAAUGUUGGUAUAAACAAUCUAUAUUAAAUACUCAGAUACAGGGUUGGCGAUCUUUUUAUAAAUACUUUUGAAUAAG